GACGAACGCUGGCGGCGUGCUUAACACAUGCAAGUCGAGCGGUAAGGCCCUUUCGGGGGUACACGAGCGGCGAACGGGUGAGUAACACGUGGGUGACCUGCCCUCAGCUCUGGGAUAAGCCUGGGAAACCGGGUCUAAUACCGGAUAUGACUCCACGACGCAUGUUGUGGGGUGGAAAGCCUUGUGCGGCUGAGGAUGGGCCCGCGGCCUAUCAGCUUGUUGGUGGGGUGANGGCCUACCAAGGCGACGACGGGUAGCCGGCCUGAGAGGGCGACCGGCCACACUGGGACUGAGACACGGCCCAGACUCCUACGGGAGGCAGCAGUGGGGAAUCUUGCGCAAUGGGCGAAAGCCUGACGCAGCGACGCCGCGUGAGGGAUGACGGCCUGG
rnacentral:rRNA from 1 species